AGUGAACGCUGGCGGUAGGCCUAACACAUGCAAGUCGAACGGCAGCACAGGAGAGCUUGCCCUCUGGGUGGCGAGUGGCGGACGGGUGAGGAAUACAUCGGAAUCUGCCCAGUCGUGGGGGAUAACGUAGGGAAACUUACGCUAAUACCGCAUACGACCUUCGGGUGAAAGAGGGGGAGCGCAAGACCUCUCGCGAUUGGAUGAGCCGAUGUCGGAUUAGCUAGUUGGCGGGGUAAUGGCCCACCAAGGCGACGAUCCGUAGCUGGUCUGAGAGGAUGAUCAGCCACACUGGAACUGAGACACGGUCCAGACUCCUACGGGAGGCAGCAGUGGGGAAUAUUGGACAAUGGGCGCAAGCCUGAUCCAGCCAUACCGCGUGGGUGAAGAAGGCCUUCGGGUUGUAAAGCCCUUUUGUUGGGAAAGAAAUCUUUCAGGCUAAUACCCUGGGAGGAUGACGGUACCCAAAGAAUAAGCACCGGCUAACUUCGUG
rnacentral:rRNA from 1 species